UACGAAGGGGGCUAGCGUUGUUCGGAUUUACUGGGCGUAAAGCGCACGUAGGCGGAUCGUUAAGUCGGGGGGUGAAAUCCUGGAGCUCAACUCCAGAACUGCCUUCGAUACUGGCGAUCUUGAGUCCGGAAGAGGUGAGUGGAACUCCUAGUGUAGAGGUGGAAUUCGUAGAUAUCAAGCGGAACACCGGUGGCGAAGGCGGCCUUCUGGACAGUGACUGACGCUGAGACGCGAAAGCGUGGGGAGCAAACAGG
rnacentral:rRNA from 1 species